rnacentral:lncRNA from 1 species
UGCUGGCUUAGGUUCUAUACAGAGCUGUCUUUACAUUGCAUUUCUUUCUUUUUGAUAGUCUAGCUCCACAGUGAGAGCCUAUCAAACCAGUAAAUCUCGAGUGACCAUGAGCCCUGGCUUCAGCUCCCAAUGGAACAGCAGCCAACCCGCCUGGAAUACGUACUCCUUUCCAAGAGCAAGCUUGCACUAUCAAUCCCACGCCAGCUAUACCUACUGCACUGGGCACCCUGCUGGAACUACAUCAAAUUUCCAACAACUUCCUAUGACCUGAGAGCCAUGAAGUGUCUGGGGAUCAUGUUCACGGUGCUCCCUGAACCCAGACCCACCGUGGACAGAGACAAGCGUUUCUUUGGGAAUUAUAUAGAAGACAUUAGAAAAGGUGCCAAGUCUCCUUUGCUCCUACACAAGGACUUUGUGUUCAAGGAAACCCAGCAACUUUGGAAAUAAAUGGAAAACAUUUCAAGGAGUACUGAAAACCGACAGUUUUCAGAGAAAUAAUGACCAGAUCUUCAGCUUCCAUGACUUUUCUUUUGUAAACAGAUUGCCCUAUAAAUUACCCAUAUUCCAAUAGCUGGAUUACCAUCUAGCCUAAUUUUCCUGGUUUAUGUUUAUUUCUUACAGUUGUUAUCAACUAGCGUUCCCUUUUGCUUUCAAAAAUGUUCAAGUUGAGAAGGUAUUUUCUAUGG